rnacentral:rRNA from 1 species
AUGCCGGUAGUUCGAGAAAGCGGAGCCGCUCGAGGAUGCUGGGCACGGAAGGGGGAGGAGCAGAGCCGUCUCCGAUGCGGCGUGUCUAAGAGGCGGGCGCAGAGGGGGAUAGUGGCGGCGGUCGCCGGCAAGGGUGUUGCGGCAACCUGCCCACGGAUCUCGGCGAUGGCGCCAGCUCGAGAAAGUCUUGGCGCUCGAGGAUGCGUGGCGCGGAGGGAGAGAGCAGCAGCAGAUCUGACGCCGCCGCCGUCCGCCGCCGCGUCGCUUCAGCGUCGGCAUGUGGUGGAGGUCAACCAGAAGGUGGACGACGCCCUGCCGCUUGCAGCCGAGCUGCUCGUCGACGUGGACGCCGUCUUCUUUCCUGCGAUGUGCCGAAGGGGAACUGCUCGCCGGGAGUCACCCAUGGCCAGGUAUUCCGUUCACCUUGCGGCGGUGGCUUGGUCAAAACCUUUUCGCGGCUUUGCCACUCUCUCCAGCCGGUACGUUAACCCCUUGCUCACCGCCGCCGCCGUAAGAAUCUCUUGUUUGAACGAGUCACACCUAGCCGCUGAUUCCAUGGUGAUUCCGCAGGAUCUUGAUCUUGAUGCACAACCAGGAGGUGAACUAGGAUUUCUGUUUCUUUGCAUAGAUUCCAUAGCAUCUUGA